rnacentral:tRNA from 1 species
GGGCGAUUAGCUCAGUUGGAUAGAGCGUUGGCCUCCGGAGCCAAAGGCCGUGAGUUCGAAUCUCGCAUCGCCCACCA